CGGGCUGCGCCGGCCAGGGUCUCAGCUCAUGGGAACCCGCCGGCCGGCGCGGCAGGUACGUCAACGACUCUCGCAGCUCUCCGCUCUGACCUCUGACCGACGGCUGGCCCCAAAUCCGCGGUUCAACGUUUUAUCGUCAUCGAGUUCAGUUGCGAUGGAAAGCGAGCUCUACUGAAGAAAGUGAAAGAAGCUACAGAGCUUCAAGAAAAUAGGAAUAACCUAAACUAAAAUAGCACAGCAGAAUCUAAACCUGAGUUCUGCCGCGUACAAAGCCAUGGAUCAAACCACUGCGUACUUCACUCGUCGCCACAUUUAUGUUUGAGCAACUGAUGUUAAAAUUCGCCAUCAACAUCAACAUCUUGCCGCAAAAACAAAGGUGUUUCGGCUUGCGCCGCUAUCCGAAGGGGUUGAUCACGCAGCAGCAAUUUACCGUCGCAGCGAAACGGACAACUUUCCAAAAUGACCAGUAGCCUGUCUUACGGGCAAAUCAGUGCUGUCAACGGCUGUGGAAAUAUCCAGAGGGCGAGACUUCCUAUAUGGCGAGCAGUAGCACUAUUUCAACAAGGAAAAGCGUACACUAGCCAGCAGAAACGAACUCACCAAGUGGCAUAGAUUGGUAGCUAUCAAUUCAACAUGUGUUGUGUUCUGAAACGCAAAAAGAAGCAAACCUUCAAGCAGAUUCCUGUUCAUAUAAUGGAAGAGGAUUGAUGAUAUCUUCAAAUGUAAAGAUGUCAACGACACAAAGGUUACAGUGGUUUACUGAACAUGGCCUCUGAAAUUGCUUAACCAUAUAGUUAACAGGGAUCCACAGUUUAACGGCAACUUCGAACCAUAGCACAACCUGGCAUUUUUCAAUUUACCAGACCAUUGUCGAGAGGAAAGAGGCGUAUUUGUAAUAAAACCU